rnacentral:rRNA from 1 species
UGCGAAUGCUGACAUAAGUAACGAUAAAGCGGGUGAAAAGCCCGCUCGCCGGAAGACCAAGGGUUCCUGUCCAACGUUAAUCGGGGCAGGGUGAGUCGACCCCUAAGGCGAGGCCGAAAGGCGUAGUCGAUGGGAAACAGGUUAAUAUUCCUGUACUUGGUGUUACUGCGAAGGGGGGACGGAGAAGGCUAUGUUGGCCGGGCGACGGUUGUCCCGGUUUAAGCGUGUAGGCUGGUUUUCCAGGCAAAUCCGGAAAAUCAAGGCUGAGGCGUGAUGA